GGCUAGAGCUGGUUUCACGCAGCGCAAAUAUCAAUCCUACCGUGGACGUACAGUAGUUACCCUCUAAAGUAUAGUAAGCAUUGGAAGCAGGCACACAACUCCCCAGACGCUGCUGUUGCUUCAUAAAAGCCAGGGGAAGCAUCCUCGUACUGGCCGUCCAUUCCGCUAUGAAAAACCAAGGUGAUAAAACCAUUUCAGCACACGGGCUUCAAAUGAAACCCAAAGAGUUGGAAGUCAUGGCGCCGUUCCUGGAUUUUUGCUACUACCGUCGUUUUAGUAGUCCGCACAGGAAAAAAAAUCAAGACUGUCGUCGAGUUAGC
rnacentral:sRNA from 1 species